CCAAAGUGGCCUUUUGGAAGAGAAAGGCUUCCUGAACCUCCACUGCCCACAUGGCUGCAAGGUCUACCUAUCUCGCCUGACACUGAAUUCAGCGAUGUUUUAGAGAAUUUCAGACAACGACUCUCCAGACUCGAAGGAGGAGACCAUACGUAGUGGAAAAACACCAGUACCUAAUGGUGCAAUAUCCUACCAGUGCUACAAAUACAAGCUGAGCUGCACAAAGUGACAGACUGGAGACACCCAGUGACCUCCACUUGGAUCCUCCACACGUGACUUGGGUCAGCAGAGCAAGAUGGUGGUUGCAUUUACAAGCACUGAUCAUGCUGUCUAGAGGUAAAGGACUCUACAUAGGAGAGUAAACCAGACUUUUAUAUUUGGCUUCGAAUAAUGCUGUCACCACAGAUGUUCCACAGACUCCUAGCAGUGGCUCUUUUCCUGCUCCCCGGCAGCACUCAAGGUAACCCAGCAUACAAGUUCCCGGUGCCUGGCUUCAGGAUCUCACCUGAAAAGGGAAUAGCUCAAGGCUUUAUAUCAGGCUUCAAAUCACUUCCUGGCAAAGAAACGGGAGAUGUGAUCCUUCAGAUAGAAGAUCGGAUUUCCAAACUUGAAAGAGUCCUCCACUUGAAAGAAAUAAUAACAGCAUCUGAAGGAAAAAUAUUUGCUACCAACGGGAAAACGGCUGAUUUCCACACCACAGUGAAAACAUGUGAAGAGGCUGGGGGGUCUAUUGCUACUCCAAGGAACACAGGCGAGAACGAUGCCAUUCUGUACUUCGUGAAGCAGUUCAAUAGGUACGCCUACCUAGGGAUAAAGGAAUCUCUAAUUCCAGGCAAAUUCCAGUUCCUGGAUGGUGCUGAACCGAGCUAUACCAACUGGCAUUCAAACGAGCCUUCAGGCAAAGGGGAAGAGGAGUGUGUGGAGAUGUACACCGAUGGCACUUGGAAUAACAAAAAGUGCAACCAGAAUCGCCUUAUUGUCUGCCAGUUCUAGCACUUCCUCCUGCUGCUGCCUGGCAGAGUCCCUGGAGUUGUAUCUCCCAUCCCUUGCGUCUUGAUGUGUAGCUAGUGAACUAAGAUAAAAGCCAAAAUAAAUAAGUAAAUAAAUAAAUAAAUAAAAGUCACUUUCCCAGCCUGAUCUGGCUUUUGAACUAAUACCAUCCAUGAAGAGACUCUUAAUGAGAGCAGGGACCAUUUUGUCUGGUCUCUUACUGAAGGUCCAAUGCUACUGACUCUCUGUACAAGGGUUCCUACGCUCUUGUCAACUGCUGACUUUUCACAAGAGAAAAAAGUAGAUUUCUUGAGCACAUACCUAAAGUGACUCGCAGCUACAAAGGCUUUCAAUCCCCCUGUAACCACAAGCCUUAAAGUUGUAUUGUGAUCCCCAUAGUUCCCAGAUUUCCCUCACCAAACCCACCCUUGCAGACAGCUGCUACCACAGCUGUUGCUCAGCCUGCGUUUCUCCAGGCCUCUUCACCUGCAGCAGAUUCCUUGAAAGAAGAAGUAAACAGUGCUGCUAGGCAGACACAGGGCUAUCAGCUCAAGGGGGUCUCACCCAUCCUAAUGUUUUCCAUGGGAAAGCUUUAGAACCAGCAGUCUUUAAUCCUCUAUAUGAGGAUUAAGAACAGUGGCCAGAAGCCACUUGCUUGAGCACCUCUAGCAAUUCCUAAUGCCUUUCCUGACAGUGUUAGCAGGACAAGACGACCAACAUCUCAUGCUACGUGGGACAAGGUGGGGAAGAAAACACACAGGAGCCAAGAUGAUACAGUGCCCAUGGAGUUUGGUGAGAUCAGCAGAGCCAGGGGAAGGUCAAGCUAUUUAAGCCAAAACAUGGAUGGAGUCAGAUACCCACCCCUGGUUUCUAGGCACCCCUGGCAGUUUCAGAGCUGCGUAAAUCUUGUGCAGCAUUUCCCUGGGGCCAGGUCUGGUGAACGUGGGUUUCAGAGGCCACCUGUAUUCUGUGCUCUUUGUAGAAGCCACUCAGAGUUAAUCCCCUCCAGUGCAAGCUAAAUGAUUGUUUAAAACAAAGCUUUUAUAAUAGCCUUACUGCUGAGGUCCAAGCACCUCAAAGUUGGGCAUUCCCAUGAGCAGAGAAGAGCUGGGCAGUACAAUGGAAGCACCCAGAGAUGGCUAUGACUUUUUUUCCUUCCUCCUGGGCAGUUGACUGCAGCAGAGCUUAGAGACCAUAGGCUCGGCAUAAGCUCCACAGAGACAUGGUGCAAAGGCUGGCUGACCAUUAAGGCAUACCUCCAUACACACCAGGCCGAACACCUCGCUAUCAGCUGCACCCACUCACAAGAGCUUUCCUAGUCCCAGCACAGUCAGAGGGAGCCAACCAUGCAGGCCUAGAGCCAGACCGGCUCCUCAUUCCCCCUGGGUGAGAGGGAGACCAAACUGUCAACAUAUAAAGGUAAGCGGGGGGAGGAAGGCAAGACCACAGCCAGUGCUAAUGCUGGGGGCAGAGAGGGGGCUGCCUGCAGCCCCAUAGCCGUGCACAUCCCUGCACUUCCAGAGCAGCAACUGGCUGUGCAUGGUAAUACUGAGCCGGUGUAAGUGCAGGUACUGGAGUAUUUGGGUACACAUUCUCACCACUUGCUCUAUGGAAAGGUACCGAUCUUCCUGGCUUCAGUUCAGCGCUUCGCUUGCUGUCAUGGCCUGCAAAGCAGUCAUGCUGCUAUUCUCUGCAAACCAAGCAAUUUAUCUUACAGGUAUUUACUUUGGACGAGAAACACUACAGGACCAAUGUCAGGCCAAGACACCUUUCUGCCUGGAUAAUUUGCUGUCUGCAGGUGGUUUGCAUCAACAAGGUUAGGAAGCUUACAGCGAGUAACACCAGCCUGAGAAUGAGGUUCGACCCCCACUGACAGUAAAAGAUAAGAGAAUGCCCAAGGUGGUUUCUGGGCAGAAAAAGAGCCAUCACCAAUCACCUCCAAGUGACUGUCUGCUAAAGCAGCUCAAGGACAUGUGACCAAGCAGGGUGUUAUUUUACCGGUCCCAAGCAAACCAUAGUCAAUGCAGAAAUGCCUCACCCUUAGCUUUGAAAAGGAUUGUGCCACUUUAAGAACCAGCAAGCGGGAGGCGGUGCAGGCACUGCUGUACAAACAAGUACCUGUGCACCACCGCACACCUCAGCUCAGGGGCCUGCCACCCUCACGAUCCCCAGCAGGUCCAGCACGGCUCCAGCGCCCACCCAGGCUGCCUGACAAGAGGAUGGAAGCCCGGGCAAACCUACUCAAUUUCAUCGGUGAGACUUGCAACACACCGCGGGGACACUAACAAGUACUGUCAGUCGUGUUUUUACCUGCUGUUUGAUGGUGGUUAUCUCUGACAAGAAGGCAGACCAGGAGUUGAGCACUGCAGAGCUUCCAACUCUGGACAUGGAGGAAACGGUGAUGAAAACCAUCCUUGCGCCAUGGCAAAUACUGCUGGUCAUUUCUGCUACGGUACUGACCAUGACCUUCCUUAUGGUCCUGCCCCCCGCAGCACUGGUGAUCUGGAGAAUGCGGCGUCUGCCUCAGAUCUCGCUGCAAGGCCAUGUGUGAGCCAGCCAUGCAUCCCUUUAUAGGAUGCAUCACAACUAUGAGAUUUCACAGGACUGGCUACUGCCUAGGAUCUAUCCCACAGUGACGCUUUUCCCAAUCCAUUGCUGCUAGGUACGUUCCUGUCAAAAGAGGAUGUGCAGCAAUUUGUCUUCCUUUCCUACAGUUUCCAGCACUUUGCCUCCCAUUUCCUGGUCAACAUUCCAAUUGCUAUUGGUCACUUGGCUCCUACAUUUACAUCUUCUCAUGCAUUAUAAUGGACUGAAAACAGGACUGACAGAGAGGCAGGCACAAUUCAGAUUUGUACUCCCUGUACUUACACCAGUAAAGCCUGCCUCUCUUCAGUUAUGUGUUAAUUAUUGCCAAAGCUUUUGACUGAGACAACUGACAAGUUGUGGCCAUAUCAAGAGCGAGCACUGUGGUCUGGGCUGUGGGAUUUGUAGUUUGUUUGUACUGUGACACCUAAAAAACAGACAAUGGUUCAACACAUACGUAUCGUGUGCUUCCUUUGUCUGAUCUGUAAACUUACUUUCUGUGUUUCAUUUCAUUUCUGUUUCCCUUUCCUUCCUUCACUAUGAGUUUCCUUCUCUUUGCUACAUCCUGUAUCAGAACACAAAGCCGUCCCCAUCCAGGGGCUGGGGCGGGAGCAGGAGCAGGAGGCAAAGCCCAUUGCUCAGACAUGCCUGCCCAGACGGCAACUUGCAGUUAAUGCAAACAAAGAGCAACUGUUUGCCUGAAUUACAUUAAGCACAUUUACACUGGGAAGUAACGUGAUUAACCUCACUUCAGUUUUCUACUGUGUCCUUUACGCUUGUUGGUUCAACAGCCCUUUCCCAUAUAUUCGUAAUAACUUGGAUGGUGGGAAUAGAACAAAACAGCCUCUCAGCAAGAUUAUAACAUACUUAAUUUUCAGCUUUAUUUCCAUUUCAUGCCAUAUCAACUUGGAGCCUUCCAGCCUCUUUCUUCCACAUUACAUGAAGCCCAUUACUAGUAUUUCUGAUGCACCUAUUUCAGUUUCUGUUACUUGACAUGAGAAAUGGGCUUGGUUUGCUCAUGAAAUCUAAUGCUGUGCUUCUUUUCUUCUGUCAGAUGGUUUGGAAAAAGUCACUGGAAUAUCUUGAUAUACCUCAAGGAAAAAUACUUCCAGUACCAAUAGAAAACCUGUACUGGAAACCUCUUGGUGCUUCUGAUAGCUAUUGCAUUUCAGUAUCGGCUGAUAAUGAAUUGGCUGCAAAUGGAAGACUCAAGGCCAUUAUAACUUCAUGUUUGUCCAUGAUUUCUUUGCCAUACAUAAACAAACUUGCCCAUGA